CAUGCCCCUGGAAGUGUUGCAGGUGUGGCUGCUGUGUCACAUAUGCUUCAGUAGGUGGUCGAGAGGAGAGGGGCUAUGUCUAUGCCUGAGAUGACCACCAGUCUGGUACUACACAGGCCCUGCACA